UCCGAGUUGACCCCGGCUCUCACCGGACCGCAGCCGCCAUGUCAAGGGCUGGUAAGGUUCUUCGCGUUGCGUCGAAUUAAACCACAUGCUCCACCGCUUGUGCGGGCCCCCGUCAAUUCCUUUGAGUUUUAACCUUGCGGCCGUACUCCCCAGGCGGUGGGCUUAACACGUUAGCUCCGACACCGAAGGGCAAGCCCCCCGACAUCUAGCCCACAUCGUUUAGGGCGUGGACUAC
rnacentral:misc_RNA from 1 species